rnacentral:rRNA from 1 species
GAUGAACGCUGGCGGCGUGCCUAAUACAUGCAAGUCGAGCGAACAGAUGAGGAGCUUGCUCCUCUGACGUUAGCGGCGGACGGGUGAGUAACACGUGGAUAACCUACCUAUAAGACUGGGAUAACUUCGGGAAACCGGAGCUAAUACCGGAUAAUAUAUUGAACCGCAUGGUUCAAUAGUGAAAGACGGUUUUGCUGUCACUUAUAGAUGGAUCCGCGCCGCAUUAGCUAGUUGGUAAGGUAACGGCUUACCAAGGCGACGAUGCGUAGCCGACCUGAGAGGGUGAUCGGCCACACUGGAACUGAGACACGGUCCAGACUCCUACGGGAGGCAGCAGUAGGGAAUCUUCCGCAAUGGGCGAAAGCCUGACGGAGCAACGCCGCGUGAGUGAUGAAGGUCUUCGGAUCGUAAAACGCUGUUAUUAGGGAAGAACAAAUGUGUAAGUAACUAUGCACGUCUGGACGGUACCUAAGCAGAAAGCCACGGCUAACUACGU